AUGGGAGGUAAAGAGCCGAAAUACAUAAUAACAGACCAAGACCAGGCGGUGAAGACUGCAAUAAAGGAAGCUCUUCCGAGGACGAGGCACAGGUUCUGCUGGUGGCAUAUUAGGAAGAACCUGAAGGAAAAUAAUGCAACAGUGUUUGCGCAGCAUCCAGGGAUGUCUCAUGAUAUAUUUCGAAUCGUCAAAAACUCACUAGAUCAAGACGAGUUUGAGCCUGCCUGGAAAGCAGCAAUUUCUCUGCACAAGGCGGAAGGCAACAAACAUCUGAACACGCUAUGGGAACUCCGAAAUUUUUGGGUGCUGGCCUACUUCAAGGACUGUUUCUAUCCUUUCUCGUCAACAACCACUCGCAGUGAGAGCACGAAUUCGAUGUGGAAGAAUCACGUCGACCACAAGGACACUAUAAAAAGGUUUGUUAAUGUGUAUCACAUGAUUCAACAAAAUUGCCUCGCCACGCUUGACAAGAAAAGAUACCGAACAGAAGAGAAGGCGCCAUCACUAGAGAUGGGUUUCUGA
rnacentral:rRNA from 1 species